rnacentral:lncRNA from 1 species
AUGAAACUUUUUUUUUCUUUGUUAGUCUCUAAGGUGCUACUAGAUCCCCCUUGCUUUCUGCUGUUUGUGAGGCUUGGUACAGCAAUCAAUAAAGAUAGGGAAAGGCAUCUUUGCUUUCUUUGCAGGCGGCUGUCCCCCGCCUGCAUAGCUAUGCAGCCCUGUUUCCAGGGUCUUUUGAGAGCAUUGAAUUCUGACAUUGUUGACUGGGAAAUGCCUAUAUCGCGAUCUCUAUGUAAGGAAACCAUAGCAUAACAUCAGAUCAUCUUUAAUUCUGUUCCCACACACCCACACCCAAUCGCUCGCUGGUAGAUUUUAUUUUCCUGGGGGGAAAGUUCUCCUCAGGCCCCGCCCGCGAAGUUCAUCCUUUCUUUGCAUCUCUAGUGGACGAUGUCCCUCCUGGCUCGGGAUAAGAUGCUCCUUACCACGUUUGUCCUGUGGUGCUGCCCCGUGGAGCACGCCCGUCUCAGGCGCGCCCGUGUGGGUGCCCUCUGGUUCUGGGCACCCGGAGGCUCCCCUGACUCGCCCGUCAAGGACAAGUGUGGACUGGCUACAUCAGGAGCAAGGAAGGCGGCGAGCUAACGAGCCCGCGAGGAGGGCCGUAUGGAGGUGACGUGAUCUCUCUGAGUCACCUCGGUGCCGCCUGCUUUAGGUCCGGGAGAUUUAAAAGUGGGAGCCCCCGUGCCUGCCUGUGACAGAAGUGCCAAAGCGCGCACAAAGAGCAACAAAGGGGGAGAGAAAGGGAAAGGCCCGCUGCCCAGCCAUGCAAAGAGCAAGCGUUUGCCGACGACGCUCUCUUUCUCCACUUCCUCCUGCAGCUUCCAGCCAGGGUCCCAGCAGCUACAGCAGCCUCAACAGUUGCCGCUCCUCCGUUCCUCAGAAGAAAAAGCUGCCCGCCUUGCGCUCGUCGGGGCUGCCCUGGGCUUUGCUCCUUCUCGUCCUCGCCUUUUGGGGGCGCUCGUGCAAAGGUGCACCAGUGGAACCCCAUGCUCUACAAGCAGAAGAAGAUACACAGUUAUGGAAUGAGAUAGAUGAUGUGUGUUCUAUUUACCUGGCCAAAGAUACUCCAACCCAGUCGUCUAAUGCAUUAGAAGAUAUUUGCUUUAUGAUUCUGGAACUUCUACAAAAAGC